AAAUUGAAGAGUUUGAUCAUGGCUCAGAUUGAACGCUGGCGGCAGGCCUAACACAUGCAAGUCGAACGGUAGCACAGAGAGCUUGCUCUCGGGUGACGAGUGGCGGACGGGUGAGUAAUGUCUGGGAAACUGCCUGAUGGAGGGGGAUAACUACUGGAAACGGUGGCUAAUACCGCAUAACGUCGCAAGACCAAAGAGGGGGACCUUCGGGCCUCUUGCCAUCAGAUGUGCCCAGAUAGGAUUAGCUUGUUGGUGAGGUAACGGCUCACCAAGGCGACGAUCCCUAGCUGGUCUGAGAGGAUGACCAGCCACACUGGAACUGAGACACGGUCCAGACUCCUACGGGAGGCAGCAGUGGGGAAUAUUGCACAAUGGGCGCAAGCCUGAUGCAGCCAUGCCGCGUGUAUGAAGAAGGCCUUCGGGUUGUAAAGUACUUUCAGCGGGGAGGAAGGUGUUG
rnacentral:rRNA from 1 species